UAAGUUCCGACCUGCACGAAUGGCAUAAUGAUGGCGGCGCUGUCUCCAGCAGAGGCUCAGUGAAAUCGAAAUCGCUGUGAAGAUGCAGUGUACCCGCGGCUAGACGGAAAGACCCCGUGAACCUUUACUGCAGCUUGACAUUGAACUUUGACCUUACUUGUGUAGGAUAGGUGGGAGGCUUUGAAGUUGGAACGCUAGUUCCAAUGGAGCCGUCCUUGAAAUACCACCCUGGUAAUGUUGAGG
rnacentral:rRNA from 13 species